GUUUUAUGUACUGGGUACUAGGUUGUCUUGAAAACAUCUGAAAAAUGUUCGAUUCAUUUAUAAAACU
rnacentral:tRNA from 1 species